GUCUGCUCACCGACCGGUCUAAACAAAAUAGGCAACUUCUUAUAGACUGUGUAACGUAGCGGAUAAUUUAGGAACAUUUUUGUUUUAAGAUCUCACAAAAUUAGGUUUUUAUGGACAUUUCUAGUUAUUGUGUAACGUGGACAAUUUUAUCAACCGAAGACAAACAUCUUUCUCAAGGAGGAAAAAAAAA
rnacentral:sRNA from 1 species